AACGCCGGCGGCGCGCUUAACACAUGCAAGUCGAGCGAGAACCGGGGCUUCGGCCCCGGGGACAGCGGCGAACGGGUGAGUAACACGUGGGUGAUCUGCCCUCGGUUCCGGGAUAGCCCGGGGAAACUCGGAUUAAUACCGGAUAGCCUCACGAGCCUUCGGGCGCGUGAGAAAAGGUAGCUUCGGCCUCUGACCGAGGAUGAGCCCGCGGCGGAUUAGCUUGUUGGCGGGGUAACGGCCCACCAAGGCGACGAUCCGUAGCUGGUCUGAGAGGACGAUCAGCCACACUGGGAAUGAGACACGGCCCAGACUCCUACGGGAGGAAGCAGUGGGGAAUCUUGCGCAAUGGGCGAAAGCCUGACGAAGCGACGCCGCGUGAGGGAAGAAGGCCCUAGGGUUGUAAACCUCUUUCAGGUGGGACGAAGCCACUCGGGUGAAUAGCCCAGAGGGUGACGGUACCUCCAGAAGAAGCCCCGGCUAACUACGUGCCAGCCGCCGCAGUAAAAC
rnacentral:rRNA from 1 species